rnacentral:rRNA from 1 species
UACGUAUGGUGCAAGCGUUAUCCGGAUUUACUGGGUGUAAAGGGAGCGCAGGCGGUGCGGCAAGUCUGAUGUGAAAGCCCGGGGCUCAACCCCGGUACUGCAUUGGAAACUGUCGUACUAGAGUGUCGGAGGGGUAAGUGGAAUUCCUAGUGUAGCGGUGAAAUGCGUAGAUAUUAGGAGGAACACCAGUGGCGAAGGCGGCUUACUGGACUGUAACUGACGUUGAGGCUCGAAAGCGUGGGGAGCAAACAGG